rnacentral:rRNA from 1 species
UAAUACAUGCAAGUCGAGCGAACAGACGAGGAGCUUGCUCCUCUGACGUUAGCGGCGGACGGGUGAGUAACACGUGGAUAACCUACCUAUAAGACUGGGAUAACUUCGGGAAACCGGAGCUAAUACCGGAUAAUAUAUUGAACCGCAUGGUUCAAUAGUGAAAGACGGUUUUGCUGUCUCUUAUAGAUGGAUCCGCGCCGCAUUAGCUAGUUGGUAAGGUAACGGCUUACCAAGGCGACGAUGCGUAGCCGACCUGAGAGGGUGAUCGGCCACACUGGAACUGAGACACGGUCCAGACUCCUACGGGAGGCAGCAGUAGGGAAUCUUCCGCAAUGGGCGAAAGCCUGACGGAGCAACGCCGCGUGAGUGAUGAAGGUCUUCGGAUCGUAAAACUCUGUUAUUAGGGAAGAACAAACGUGUAAGUAACUAUGCACGUCUUGACGGUACCUAAUCAGAAAGCCACGGCUAACUACGUGCCAGCAGCCGCGGUAAUACGUAGGUGGCAAGCGUUAUCCGGAAUUAUUGGGCGUAAAGCGCGCGUAGGCGGUUUUUUAAGUCUGAUGUGAAAGCCCACGGCUCAACCGUGGAGGGUCAUUGGAAACUGGAAAACUUGAGUGCAGAAGAGGAAAGUGGAAUUCCAUGUGUAGCGGUGAAAUGCGCAGAGAUAUGGAGGAACACCAGUGGCGAAGGCGACUUUCUGGUCUGUAACUGACGCUGAUGUGCGAAAGCGUG